rnacentral:rRNA from 1 species
AAAUUGAAGAGUUUGAUCAUGGCUCAGAUUGAACGCUGGCGGCAGGCCUAACACAUGCAAGUCGAGCGGUAGCACAGAGAGCUUGCUCUCGGGUGACGAGCGGCGGACGGGUGAGUAAUGUCUGGGAAACUGCCUGAUGGAGGGGGAUAACUACUGGAAACGGUAGCUAAUACCGCAUAACGUCGCAAGACCAAAGUGGGGGACCUUCGGGCCUCAUGCCAUCAGAUGUGCCCAGAUGGGAUUAGCUAGUAGGUGGGGUAACGGCUCACCUAGGCGACGAUCCCUAGCUGGUCUGAGAGGAUGACCAGCCACACUGGAACUGAGACACGGUCCAG